rnacentral:rRNA from 1 species
GACGAACGCUGGCGGCGUGCCUAACGCAUGCAAGUCGAGCGAGGGAUCUCGCAAGGGAUCUCGAGCGGCGAACGGGUGAGUAACACGUGGGUAAUCUGCCUAUGAGACGGGGAUAGCCCCGGGAAACUGGGGUUAAUACCGGAUGUGAUCCUCUAAGCGCAUGCUUGGGGGAGGAAAGGGUGCAAACCGCUCAUAGAUGAGCCCGCGGCCCAUUAGCUAGUUGGCAGGGUAAGAGCCUACCAAGGCGACGAUGGGUAGCCGGUCUGAGAGGAUGGCCGGCCACACUGGGACUGAGACACGGCCCAGACUCCUACGGGAGGCAGCAGCAAGGAAUUUUGGACAAUGGGCGCAAGCCUGAUCCAGCCAUUCCGCGUGAGUGAAGAAGGCCUUCGGGUUGUAAAGCUCUUUCGCAAGGGAAGAAAACUUAUCCUCUAACAUAGGAUGAGGUUGACGGUACCUUGAUAAGAAGCACCGGCUAACUACGUGCCAGCCGCCGCAGUAAAAC